CCAAUAGCGUAUAUUAAAGUUGUUGCAGUUAAAAAGCUCGUAGUUGAACUUCGGGACCGGUGGGUCGGUCGUGCCUCCGGUACGUACUGGCCUUACCGGUUCCUCCCUUCUGACGAACCACGAUGUCAUUAAUUUGGUGUCGUGGGGAAUCAGGACUGUUACUUUGAAAAAAUUAGAGUGUUUAAAGCAGGCUAAAGCUUGAAUAGAUUAGCAUGGAAUAACGAAAUAGGACGUUUGAUCUUAUUUUGUUGGUUUCUAAGAUCGACGUAAUGAUUAAUAGGGAUAGUUGGGGGCAUUAGUAUUCAAUUGUCAGAGGUGAAAUUCUUGGAUUUAUUGAAGACUAACUACUGCGAAAGCAUUUGCCAAGGAUGUUUUCAUUAAUCAAGAACGAAAGUUAGGGGAUCGAAGACGAUCAGAUACCGUCGUAGUCUUAACCAUAAACUAUGCCGACUAGGGAUCGGAUGAUGUUAAUUUUUUAAUGACUCAUUCGGCGCCUUACG
rnacentral:rRNA from 1 species